rnacentral:rRNA from 1 species
GACGAACGCUGGCGGCGUGCCUAAUACAUGCAAGUCGAACGCACGAAGUUGAAGAGCUUGCUCUUUAACCAAGUGAGUGGCGGACGGGUGAGUAACACGUGGGUAACCUGCCCAUUAGAGGGGGAUAACAUUCGGAAAUGGAUGCUAAUACCGCAUAGUUUCAGGAAUCGCAUGAUUCUUGAAGGAAAGGUGGCUUCGGCUACCACUAAUGGAUGGACCCGCGGCGUAUUAGCUAGUUGGUGAGGUAAUGGCUCACCAAGGCAAUGAUACGUAGCCGACCUGAGAGGGUGAUCGGCCACACUGGGACUGAGACACGGCCCAGACUCCUACGGGAGGCAGCAGUAGGGAAUCUUCCGCAAUGGACGAAAGUCUGACGGAGCAACGCCGCGUGAGUGAAGAAGGUUUUCGGAUCGUAAAACUCUGUUGUUAAAGAAGAACAAGGAUGAGAGUAACUGCUCAUCCCCUGACGGUAUUUAACCAGAAAGCCACGGCUAACUACGUGCCAGCAGCCGCGGUAAUACGUAGGUGGCAAGCGUUGUCCGGAUUUAUUGGGCGUAAAGCGAGCGCAGGCGGUUCUUUAAGUCUGAUGUGAAAGCCCCCGGCUCAACCGGGGAGGGUCAUUGGAAACUGGAGAACUUGAGUGCAGAAGAGGAGAGUGGAAUUCCACGUGUAGCGGUGAAAUGCGUAGAUAUGUGGAGGAACACCAGUGGCGAAGGCGACUCUCUGGUCUGUAACUGACGCUGAGGCUCGAAAGCGUGGGGAGCAAACAGG